rnacentral:rRNA from 1 species
GGUGAAUGCUGGCGGCGUGGAUAAGUCAUGCAAGUCAAGGGGGCCCGCAAGGGCAACCGGCAAACGAGGUAGUAACACGUAGGUAGACCCCCCAGAGUCGGGCAUAGCCAGCCGAAAGGUUGGGUAAUUCCCGAUAGUCCCGAAAGGGUAAAGGUUUUUCGCUCUGGGAGUUGCCUGCGUAGUAUCAGCUAGUUGGUAGGGUAAUGGCCUACCAAGGCUACGACGCUUAGGGGAGCUGAGAGGCUGACCCCCACGAUGGAACUGCGACACGGUCCAUACUCCUACGGGAGGCUGCAGACGAGAAUAUUCCGCAAUGGGCGAAAAGCCUGACGGAGCGACGCCGCGUGAUUGAUGAAGUGCUUCGGUACGUAAAGAUCUUUUAUCGGGGACGAAGGUUUUAUUGACGGUACCCGAUGAAUAAGGGGCUCCCUAAACUCUAGUGCCAGCAGCCGCGGUAAU